AUUGAACGCUGGCGGCAGGCCUAACACAUGCAAGUCGAACGAGUGGCGGACGGGUGCGUAAUGUCUGGGAAACUGCCUGAGGGGGGGGGAUAACUACUGGACACGGUAUCUAAUACCGCAUACCAUCAGAUGUGCCCAGAUGGGAUUAGCGAGUUGGUGGGGUAACGGCUCACGAAUGCGACGAGCCCUAGCGGGUCUGAGAGGAUGACCAGCCACACUGGAACGGAGACACGGUCCAGACUCCUACGGGAGGCAGCAGUGGGGAAUAUUGCACAAUGGGCGCAAGCCUGAUGCAGCCAUGCCGCGUGUAUGAAGAAGGCCUUCGGGUUGUAAAGUACUUUCAGUGGGGAGGCGUUACCCGCAGAAGAAGCACCGGCUAACUCCGUGCCAGCCGCCGCGGUAAUUC
rnacentral:rRNA from 1 species